rnacentral:rRNA from 2 species
CUGGUGUCAGCCGCCGCGGUAAUACCAGCACCCCGAGUGGUCGGGACGUUUAUUGGGCCUAAAGCAUCCGUAGCCGGUUCUACAAGUCUUCCGUUAAAUCCACCUGCUUAACAGAUGGGCUGCGGAAGAUACUAUAGAGCUAGGAGGCGGGAGAGGCAAGCGGUACUCGAUGGGUAGGGGUAAAAUCCGUUGAUCCAUUGAAGACCACCAGUGGCGAAGGCGGCUUGCCAGAACGCGCUCGACGGUGAGGGAUGAAAGCUGGGGGAGCAAACCGGAUUAGAUACCCGGGUAGUCCCAGCUGUAAACGAUGCAGACUCGGUGAUGAGUUGGCUUAUUGCUAACUCAGUGCCGCAGGGAAGCCGUUAAGUUUGCCGCCUGGGGAGUACGGUAGCAAGACUGAAACUUAAAG